rnacentral:rRNA from 1 species
CCUACGGGGUGCUGCAGUAGGGAAUCUUCCACAAUGGGCGAAAGCCUGAUGGAGCAACGCCGCGUGGGUGAAGAAGGUCUUCGGAUCGUAAAACCCUGUUGUUAGAGAAGAAAGUGCGUGAGAGUAACUGUUCACGUUUCGACGGUAUCUAACCAGAAAGCCACGGCUAACUACGUGCCAGCAGCCGCGGUAAUACGUAGGUGGCAAGCGUUAUCCGGAUUUAUUGGGGUUAAAGGGUGCGUAGGCGGAAGGUUAAGUCAGCGGUCAAAUGUCGGUGCUCAACACCGGCCUGCCGUUGAAACUGGUCUUCUUGAGUGAGCGAGAAGUAUGCGGAAUGCGUGGUGUAGCGGUGAAAUGCAUAGAUAUCACGCAGAACUCCGAUUGCGAAGGCAGCCUGCCGGGGUGCGACUGACGCUGAGGCUCGAAGGUGCGGGUAUCAAACAGGAUUAGAUACCCUGGUAGUC